rnacentral:rRNA from 1 species
UUUUCCUACGGGGCGCAGCAGUGGGGAAUAUUGCACAAUGGGGGAAACCCUGAUGCAGCAACGCCGCGUGAGUGAAGAAGUCAUUCGUGAUGUAAAGCUCUAUCAGCAGGGAAGAAAAUGACGGUACCUGAGUAAGAAGCCCCGGCUAACUACGUGCCAGCAGCCGCGGUAAUACGUAGGGGGCAAGCGUUAUCCGGAUUUACUGGGUGUAAAGGGAGCGUAGACGGCAGUGCAAGUCCGGAGUGAAAGCCCGGGGCUCAACCCUGGGACUGCUCUGGAAACUGUAAAGCUGGAGUGCGGGAGGG